GUCUUUUUUAUGUAUUACUAAGAUUUUCCUUUUAUUUUAACUAUUUGGGUGUCCUAUUAUAUGUAAUGUUGUUAAGUUGGUUACAUAUAUUUAUAUCAUUGACAACAUUCUAUUGUAUUAAAUAAUCCUUUAAUCAACUUGAGAUGAAAAUUGAAAACUGAUUGAAAGCAUGCUGAAGUUGUUUGAAUUCAGAAAUUGAAAGAGUACAAAAUUGGUUGAAAGAUUAAAUUAAGUAACAGGUAUGGUUGAGGGAUUAUUUAUAGUUCUAAAUAUAAUUAUUUCUUUUGAAUAAAGUUGUUAUCAGAUUCAAAGGUUGAAGAAGAUAAUUUUUCUUCACAUUUUAUUGAUGAACACCAAGCAAAGUUCACAUUGUCAAAGAGUUUUAAGUUUUAAUGUGAGUAAUUUUGGUAUUUACACCACUGAAUGUUAAUGUGGAGGUAUUUUUUAUUAAUUUGUUUUUGUAUUAAAAUAAUUGAUAAAGUUUUAGCUGAUUUAAAAAGUAGGUUUUCCGAAAUAUUAUGGCAACUUCUGUGAUGGAGUAAUAAAAAAACUUACAUGUGUUUUUGGAAUUUUAGUUUAAGUUACUCAAGCAUAAUUUGAAUUUUAAAGUUCUUAUUUCAUUGUAUUGCUAUUUGGUUUUAUGAGCUAAAUAUGUUAAUCAAUCUUUUUAUUCUUGUUUGUAGAGAUGCAAAAUGUUAUUCUCAACAAGCUUGCAGAAAUAAAAGUUCUUUUAAAAGAAGUUAUAGAAAUUAAGUUUCAGGCUACUGGGGUGAAGUUGCUAGAAUCAGUGGACGAAGUGGUUACACUGGAUAAUAAACUAAAAGAUAAAACCGAGUAUACUAAUUUGAAAUAUGAUUAAAAGGGACCAAAAGCAAUUCUUUUUGACCGUUAUUUGUUAUGGAUUUACUUUUAACAUGACAAUUUGAUAAACUCGGGAGCUUCGCUGUAGGUGUUUAAGUUUGUUUAUGUGCUAAAGUAAGU